CCUACGGGUGGCAGCAGUGAGGAAUAUUGGUCAAUGGGCGGGAGCCUGAACCAGCCAAGUCGCGUGAAGGAGUACUGCCCUAUGGGUUGUAAACCUCUUUUAUCGGGGAGCAAAAGCCGGACGUGUCCGGCUGUGAGAGUACCCGAAGAAAAAGCAUCCGCGAAAUCCGUGCCAGCAGCCGCGGUAAGCCGGAGGAUGCGAGCGUUUUCCGGAUUUAUUGGGUUUAAAGGGGGCGUAGGUGGAUUGUUAAGUCAGUUGUGAAAGUUUGCGGGUCAACCGUAAAAUUGCAGUUGAAACUGGCAGGCUUGAGUACAGGAGAGGUGGGCGGAAUUCGUGGUGUAGCGGUGAAAUGCUUAGAUAUCACGAAGAACUCCGAUUGCGAAGGCAGCUCACUGGAGUGCAACUGACACUGAUGCUCGAAAGUGUGGGUAUCAAACAGGAUUAGAUACCCUUGUAGUC
rnacentral:rRNA from 1 species